GAUGAAGAACGCAGCGAAAUGCGAUAAGUAGUGUGAAUUGCAGAAUUCAGUGAAUCAUCGAAUCUUUGAACGCACAUUGCGCCCCCUGGCAUUCCGGGGGGCAUGCCUGUCCGAGCGUCAUUUCUGCCCUCCAGCCCGGCUGGGUGUUGGGCGCUGUCCCCCCGGGGACACGCCCCAAAGGCAGUGGCGGCGCCGCGUCGGGUCCUCGAGCGUAUGGGGCUUUGUCACCCGCUCGGGACGGACUCGUCGGCGCUGGUCUUCCUCCAGGCGACCCUUCGGGGCUCGUCUUCCUUCGGUUGACCUCGGAUCAGGUAGGGUUACCCGCUGAACUUAAGCAUAUCAUAAGCGGAGGA
rnacentral:misc_RNA from 1 species